UGCAGUUAAAAAGCUCGUAGUUGGAUUUCUGCGGGGGCGGGGCGGCCGAACGCUUAUAGCGUUUCGAGCUAGCACUUCCCCUGCAUCCUGCCGCGAACCGUGCUACCAUUAGUUUGGUGGCGCCGGGGAUCGGCUCGUUUACUUUGAGAAAAAUAGAGUGUUCAAAGCAGGCCACACGCCUUGAAUAAGUUAGCAUGGAAUAAUGAUAAAGGACUUCGGUUCUAUUUUGUUGGUGUUCGGGACUGAAGUAAUGAUUGAUAGGGACAGUUGGGGCGGUCCGUAUUCCAAAGCGAGAGGUGAAAUCUUAGACCUUCGGAAGACGA
rnacentral:rRNA from 1 species